ACGUACACUCCUGCGGGAGGCAGCAGUGGGGAAUUUUGGACAAUGGGCGAAAGCCUGAUCCAGCCAUGCCGCGUGCAGGAUGAAGGCCUUCGGGUUGUAAACUGCUUUUGUACGGAACGAAACGGCCUUUUCUAAUAAAGAGGGCUAAUGACGGUACCGUAAGAAUAAGCACCGGCUAACUACGUGCCAGCAGCCGCGGUAAUACGUAGGGUGCAAGCGUUAAUCGGAAUUACUGGGCGUAAAGCGUGCGCAGGCGGUUAUGUAAGACAGUUGUGAAAUCCCCGGGCUCAACCUGGGAACUGCAUCUGUGACUGCAUAGCUAGAGUACGGUAGAGGGGGAUGGAAUUCCGCGUGUAGCAGUGAAAUGCGUAGAUAUGCGGAGGAACACCGAUGGCGAAGGCAAUCCCCUGGACCUGUACUGACGCUCAUGCACGAAAGCGUGGGGAGCAAACAGGAUUAGAUACCCGAGUAGUCCCAUGAU
rnacentral:rRNA from 1 species